CCACUACCCGUUCUAGAAAUUGUUCAAUUAGCUAAUAUUAUAGAAAGAUCACACAUUCAUGCAGCUGUGGCGGUGUCACGUUGUCUUUAUCCAUACCAAAGCUGCAGCUAUGGAUAAGCCUUUUACUUGAGAGCUCUUUCCUCUUUGCCAGGUCUCCCUUGACCAAAUGAUGUUAUUUUUGACCUGGUAAAAUAACCUAACAGUUGUGUACACUCUCACCUGAUAUAAUGGCGUGGUUCAGUGGCAGAUUUUCAAAAGAAAAUAGACAUAUACAGUAUAUCAUCAGCAAUUCUCAAAUCAGAUGAGAUACACAGCUAACCCAAAUUGAAUUUCAUUCAUUUCUUAAAUCUUCUCUAGGCCCUCAGUUCCCAAACCUGAAGCCCCCUGUCCCCAGCAGAAAAGACCAGGAAGAAGUUUUGGCUUAAGAUCUGUCAACCAAGCUCACUGGGUGACAGAUCUGACAUCCCUAUUAUCUCAACCACAGCCCUCACAGCUGCAGUCGUCUGCCCCUGCACCUGCUAUACUGGUCACGACAGGUGAUACAGAUCUGCCACCCCCAGCAGUUCAGCUGCAGUCACAGCAGUCCUCUGCUGUGGUAUUUAAUUUACCGACUGCACCAGAUCCUACUACACUGGCUGUGAAGGGAGAACAUUUUGAGGAUUCCCAGAUUGAUACAGAUCUGCCAUGCACUCCACCACUGCCCGACAGCCUCACCCAGAAGUGCAUACACUGGGCCUAUCAAGACUGACAAAGCAGAGAUGGGUGGCUGACAAGGAAAA